GACGAACGCUGGCGGCGGGCUUAACACAUGCAAGUCGAACGGAAAGGCCCUGCUUUUGUGGGGUGCUCGAGUGGCGAACGGGUGAGUAACACGUGAGUAACCUGCCCUUGACUUUGGGAUAACUUCAGGAAACUGGGGCUAAUACCGGAUAGGAGCUCCUGCUGCAUGGUGGGGGUUGGAAAGUUUCGGCGGUUGGGGCUGGACUCGCGGCUUAUCAGCUUGUUGGUGGGGUAGUGGCUUACCAAGGCUUUGACGGGUAGCCGGCCUGAGAGGGUGACCGGCCACAUUGGGACUGAGAUACGGCCCAGACUCCUACGGGAGGCAGCAGUGGGGAAUAUUGCACAAUGGGCGCAAGCCUGAUGCAGCAACGCCGCGUGCGGGAUGACGGCCUUCGGGUUGUAAACCGCUUUCGCCUGUGACGAAGCGUGAGUGACGGUAAUGGAUAAAGAAGCACCGGCUAACUACGUG
rnacentral:rRNA from 1 species